rnacentral:rRNA from 1 species
CGCUUCGGCGUGUGACUGCGUACCUUUUGUAUAAUGGGUCAGCGACUUAUAUUCUGUAGCAAGGUUAACCGAAUAGGGGAGCCGAAGGGAAACCGAGUCUUAACUGGGCGUUAAGUUGCAGGGUAUAGACCCGAAACCCGGUGAUCUAGCCAUGGGCAGGUUGAAGGUUGGGUAACACUAACUGGAGGACCGAACCGACUAAUGUUGAAAAAUUAGCGGAUGACUUGUGGCUGGGGGUGAAAGGCCAAUCAAACCGGGAGAUAGCUGGUUCUCCCCGAAAGCUAUUUAGGUAGCGCCUCGUGAAUUCAUCUCCGGGGGUAGAGCACUGUUUCGGCAAGGGGGUCAUCCCGACUUACCAACCCGAUGCAAACUGCGAAUACCGGAGAAUGUUAUCACGGGAGACACACGGCGGGUGCUAACGUCCGUCGUGAAGAGGGAAACAACCCAGACCGCCAGCUAAGGUCCCAAAGUCAUGGUUAAGUGGGAAACGAUGUGGGAAGGCCCAGACAGCCAGGAUGUUGGCUUAGAAGCAGCCAUCAUUUAAAGAAAGCGUAAUAGCUCACUGGUCGAGUCGGCCUGCGCGGAAGAUGUAACGGGGCUAAACCAUGCACCGAAGCUGCGGCAGCGACACUAUGUGUUGUUGGGUAGGGGAGCGU